AGGAUUAACGCUGGCGGCGUGCCUGACACAUGCAAGUCGAACGAGGCCGCAAGGCCGAGUGGCGGACGGGUGAGUAACACGUGACCAACCAACCUCGAAGUUGGGAAUAGCUCUGCGAAAGUAGGAGUAAUACCGAAUGUGGCCCAGGGCGGGCAUCCGCCUUGGUCUAAAGAUUCAUCGCUUCGAGACGGGGUCGCGGCCUAUUAGCUUGUUGGUGAGGUAACGGCUCACCAAGGCGAUGAUGGGUAGCUGGUCUGAGAGGACGACCAGCCACACUGGGACUGAGACACGGCCCAGACUCCUACGGGAGGCAGCAGUGAGGAAUCUUCCGCAAUGGGCGAAAGCCUGACGGAGCAACGCCGCGUGUGGGAUGAAGACUCUAGGGUUGUAAACCACUGUCGGAGGGGACGAUCGUGACGGUACCCUCCAAGAACGCCCCGGCUAACUACGUGCCAGCAGCCGC
rnacentral:rRNA from 1 species